UACGGAGGGUGCAAGCGUUGUUCGGAAUUACUGGGCGUAAAGGGCGCGUAGGCGGCCCGCUAAGUCGAACGUGAAAUCCCCGAGCUCAACUCGGGAACUGCGUCCGAUACUGGUGGGCUUGAAUCCGGGAGAGGGAUGCGGAAUUCCAGGUGUAGCGGUGAAAUGCGUAGAUAUCUGGAGGAAUACCGGUGGCGAAGGCGGCAUCCUGGACCGGCAUUGACGCUGAGGAGCGAAAGCCAGGGGAGCAAACGGG
rnacentral:rRNA from 1 species